GGGUUUCACCAGAAGUAGGUAGCCUAACCGCAAGGAGGGCGCUUACCACGGUAUGACCGAUGAUUGGGGUGAAGUCGUAACAAGGUAGUCGUAGGUGAACCUGCAGAAGGAUCA
rnacentral:rRNA from 1 species